CAAUAACCAAGGUGUGGGCAGAACUGAACAUAAACUUAAACUGGGAAAACUAAUACAAAAGGAGGACAUGGAGCGAGGAGCAGAGAGACACGGAGAAACACGGAAUAACAUUAAAUACACGGAAGAUUCACAGGGAAACACAGACGACGCGACGAGGAGCACAGGCAGACACACAGUAUAAAUACACACAUCAGGUAAUCAGGAAAUGGCACACAGGAGGGGACACAGCUGGAACUAAUGGACAUACUGAGACACAGACCUACAAAGUAAAGCAGGAAACACACGGACUAUUUUACAACACAAACGCGGGGACCCAAAUGGAGCACAGAGGGAAGACACAGUGGAGGGUUCUGGUCAGUUUGGCCAGUGAUGUCACACCAGCAGUGAAAACACCCUCUCAGGCAGCUAUAAAAGAAAGCAGCAUGAACUCUUUGGAGGAAUCCAGUACAAAGAAGCUUCAGCAGCUCCUCAUCACACGUUGAGACUUAAAGCUCCAACAUGAUCUUGCUCCUCUUCUUGUUCGGUCUGGCUCUGGGUGCUCCUUCUGAGUCUCCUGAUGAAAAUCAAGUGAAGCACCAACUUGAUGACCACAGAGUUCAACUACUGCGUGAAAGCUGUCCCAUGUUCUGGUACAGCUUCAAUGGCCGCUGCUACAAAUAUGUGGCCACACACAUGAGCUGGGCUGAUGCAGAGCUCUACUGUGUGUCACAACGAGCCAACCUGGUGUCUAUCCACAGCAACGAGGAAGAGGAGUUUGUUAAAUCAUUAAUUAAGAACUUUGACCAUGCUGAGCGAUGGACCUGGAUUGGACUGAGUGACCUCCAUAAAGAAGGCAGAUGGAUGUGGUCUGAUGGUUGUGCAGUGAGUUUCGUCUACUGGCAUGCAGGACAACCAGACAACGGUGGAACAAAUGAACACUGUGUUCACACCAACUUGUUGGACUUAAAGAAGUGGAAUGAUCGCACAUGUUCGCUCAUUUUACCUUCUGUUUGUGCAACACGGAUAACUUGCCCUUAGAAACUAAAAUGUGUAUUUUCCCUGCAUUGUACAGAAGCAAAAACUUUUUUGCACAUGAAUGUUUAAAAUUGCUCCAAAGUAAAAUGAAUAAACAAUUAUAC